AAAUUCUGCAAUGGGCGAAAGCCUGACAGAGGUACUCUAAGUGGUAGAAGCAUUUGCUUCUAUCUUUUAGAUAAUCUAAAAAGUUAGCUGAAUAAGAUCUGGGUAAAGCUCGUGCCAGCCGCCAUGCUUGCCUAUGCACCGGCAUAGCACGGUAUGCGGUAAUACGAGUAGAUCAAGUGGUGCCCACGAAUAUUGGGUCUAAAGAGUCCGUAGCGGGUCUAAUAAGUCCACUGUGAAAUAUGAGGGCUUAACCUUUCAGGCGUGCAGUGGAUACUGUUAGACUUGGGAGUAGGGGAGGCCAGAAGUACUUGCGGGGUAGCGGUAAAAUGCUAUAAUCCUGCAAGGACUCCCAGUGGCGAAGGCGUCUGGCCAAAAUACAUCCGACCGUGAGGGACGAAGGCUAGGAGAACGAAUCGGAUUAUUUUUCAACGAGUAGCCCUAGCAGUAAAUUAUGCGGACUGAGCUCUUUGACGCCCUUCGUGUUGUUGCAGUGCUGUAGCGUAGGUGUUAAGUCCGCCACCUGGGGAGUACGACCGCAAAAAUUCC
rnacentral:rRNA from 1 species